rnacentral:rRNA from 1 species
GAUGAACGCUGGCGGUCUGCUUAACACAUGCAAGUCGAACGGAAUCCUUCGGGAUUUAGUGGCGGACGGGUGAGUAACGCGUGAGAAUCUGCCUUCAGGUUCGGGACAACAGCUGGAAACGGCUGCUAAUACCGGAUGUGCCGAGAGGUGAAAGCUUUAGUGCCUGAAGAUGAGCUCGCGUCUGAUUAGCUAGUAGGAGUGGUAAUGGCACCCCUAGGCGACGAUCAGUAGCUGGUCUGAGAGGAUGAUCAGCCACACUGGGACUGAGACACGGCCCAGUCUCCUACGGGAGGCAGCAGUGGGGAAUUUUCCGCAAUGGGCGCAAGCCUGACGGAGCAAGACCGCGUGAGGGAAGAAGGUCUGUGGAUUGUAAACCUCUUUUGAUGGGAAGAAGACAGUGACGGUACCCAUCGAAUCAGCCUCGGCUAACUCCGUGCCAGCCGCCGCGGUAA